rnacentral:rRNA from 1 species
GACGAACGCUGGCGGCGUGCUUAACACAUGCAAGUCGAACGGAAAGGCCCUGCUUGCAGGGUACUCGAGUGGCGAACGGGUGAGUAACACGUGGGUGAUCUGCCCUGCACUUCGGGAUAAGCCUGGGAAACUGGGUCUAAUACCGGAUAGGAGCCAUUUUUAGUGUGAUGGUUGGAAAGUUUUUUCGGUGUAGGGUGAGCUCGCGGCCUAUCAGCUUGUUGGUGGGGUAAUGGCCUACCAAGGCGGCGACGGGUAGCCGGCCUGAGAGGGGGGACGGCCACAUUGGGACUGAGAUACGGCCCAGACUCCUACGGGAGGCAGCAGUGGGGAAUAUUGCACAAUGGGCGCAAGCCUGAUGCAGCGACGCCGCGUGGGGGAUGACGGCCUUCGGGUUGUAAACUCCUUUCGCUAGGGACGAAGCUUUGUGUGACGGUACCUAGAUAAGAAGCACCGGCUAACUACGUG